AUGCGCGUUAGGGUUUUUCUCCCCCACCCCGCUCGCCGCCGCAGGCGACUCGCCACUCUAACUCGCUGCCCGCCGACCAUGAAGGUCGACGUGAGGUGAGACGCUAUUGCCGUCGAGCCAGAGCUGAAGGUGGUGGUUCAGGCGACGGUUGUGCGGGUUGCUGAACUCGUUGUACAUAUGUGCAACUCAUUUGAAGUGGCUCGGUUUAGGGUUUAGGGUUUCCACCAUAGAUGCUUGGUUUGUUGAUUCGAUUUGAUAUGAUUGGCGACGUCGUUCUUUGAUACAACCCCAUUAUUCUUUCCUUUACUGCCUCGUUUUAGAGGGUUUGCUAGUUUGCCUGUCAUAAACAACAACAAUGAGAUUAUCAAGUUGCACUGAUCCAUUUUCCUUUGAUUCCACCCCAUAAUGGUUCUUGUGAUUCGUUUCCUACAUGGGGUUCAAAUCUCGGCCCAAGUUCUACUUGUCGUGUUUAGGGUCAGGCAUCAGUUUCAACAAGUAUAUGUGGACACCGCUAUUUGUUCCUCGGAUAUGUGCUAUUGUUUGGUUUUGUGCCUUAUUCAAUUUAUAUUUGUAUACCUUACUUCCCAUGCAUUUAGUUGGACUAUUAGGUAACCAAUCAUUGUUGCACAUAUUACUGAAUUCCUCGACGACUUAUUUGUUCCCAGUGUUCUUCACUUCUUCUCGUAUUGUUAUUGUUUGGUUACUAAUUCUCGUAUUGUUAUUGUUUUGUUACUAAUACUUACCCACAAAUCAGUUUAAGGCCUAAACCAAGGUUAGUCCCAAACAAUGCAGUGUUAGGUUGUCUAAUGUCUUGGUGAGUAGUGUGUUCAUAAUUUUGCAGGCGUUAGUUUGUAAUGGCUUCUUUGCUUCUAGUGUCAUUGUUAGUCCAUUAUUAUCAUUAAAAUUAACUCACAAUCAGAAGGAUUUGUACUCUUUGGAAACCAUUAGUCGCAAGUUCGGUGAAGUGCUCGAGGCACUUUUCUGGAUGUCAAACGAUGUAAUUAGGCCAAAGGAUUUAGACUUCACUGAGAUAUACCCGAGACUAAGGGAGACUAGGUUUUGGUCACAAUUCAAGGACUGAUAGGGGCGAUCGAUGGUAGUCACUUCCCUGCAAGUGUCCCAAUGUCAGAGCAAGCAAAAUACAUUGGGAGGCACGGGUACGAAUCACAGAAGAGAAUUAUUGCCUUAUCGAUUCCGGGUACCCAAACUGGAAAGGAUACCUGGCACCAUACAAGGGAUAGAAGUACCACGUGUCAGAAUGGCAGCAUGGACAACAACCAGUUGGUGUGAAGGAGGUCUUUGACUAUGCACAUUCAUCAUUAAGGAAUGUGAUAGAAAGGUUUGGUGGCAUACCAGACUGGUUCGACGUGCACAGGAUAACUAUGCCAAAAACAGGCUCCCUAUGUAACUGAUCUGGUGGCACAUCAGACUAGUCUGAUGCAUGUUAUGUUAGUUUAGCCACAGAAUAGGGUCCGCAUAACCGGUUUGGUGCACACUGGACUAGUUCAGUGCACACAGAGACUCUAAGUUUCUACUAAGUGUGUUUUUAUUUG